CACGUAGGGCGCGAGCGUUGUCCGGAAUUAUUGGGCGUAAAGAGCUCGUAGGCGGCCUGUUGCGUCCGCUGUGAAAGCCCGGGGCUUAACCCCGGGUCUGCAGUGGAUACGGGCAGGCUAGAGGUAGGUAGGGGAGAAUGGAAUUCCCGGUGUAGCGGUGAAAUGCGCAGAUAUCGGGAGGAACACCGGUGGCGAAGGCGGUUCUCUGGGCCUUACCUGACGCUGAGGCAGCGAAAGCGUGGGGAGCGAACAGG
rnacentral:rRNA from 1 species